rnacentral:misc_RNA from 1 species
GAAAUGCGAUAAGUAGUGUGAAUUGCAGAAUUCAGUGAAUCAUCGAAUCUUUGAACGCACAUUGCGCCCCUCGGUAUCCCGUGGGGCAUGCCUGUUCGAGCGUCAUCUACACCCUCAAGCUCUGCUUGGUGUUGGGCGUCUGUCCCGCCUCCUUCGCGCGCGGACUCGCCCCAAAUCCAUUGGCGGCGGCCCUUGCCUGCCUCUCGCGCAGCACAUUGCGCUUCUCGAGGCGCGGCGGACCGCGUCCAGCAAGCAACCGUCACACCGUCUUUGACCUCGGAUCAGGUAGGGAUACCCGCUGAACUUAAGC